AUUGAACGCUGGCGGCAGGCCUAACACAUGCAAGUCGAGCGGAUGAAGGGAGCUUGCUCCUGGAUUCAGCGGCGGACGGGUGAGUAAUGCCUAGGGAUCUGCCUGGUAGUGGGGGAUAACGUCCGGAAACGGGCGCUAAUACCGCAUACGUCCUGAGGGAGAAAGUGGGGGAUCUUCGGACCUCACGCUAUCAGAUGAGCCUAGGUCGGAUUAGCUAGUUGGUGGGGUAAAGGCCUACCAAGGCGACGAUCCGUAACUGGUCUGAGAGGAUGAUCAGUCACACUGGAACUGAGACACGGUCCAGACUCCUACGGGAGGCAGCAGUGGGGAAUAUUGGACAAUGGGCGAAAGCCUGAUCCAGCCAUGCCGCGUGUGUGAAGAAGGACUUCGGAUUGUAAAGCACUUUAAGUUGGGAGGAAGGGCAGUAAGUUAAUACCUUGCUGUUUUGACGUUACCAACAGAAUAAGCACCGGCUAACUUCGUG
rnacentral:rRNA from 1 species